GGGGCUGUGGCUCAGUGGGUUAAAGCCCUGGCCUAAAGCGCCGGCAUCCCAUAUGGGCGCUGGUUCGAGUCCCGGCUGUUCCA
rnacentral:tRNA from 1 species